ACGCUCGACACCUACGAGAGGCAGCAGUGGGGAAUUUUCCGCAAUGGGCGAAAGCCUGACGGAGCAAUGCCGCGUGAAGGUAGAAGGCCUACGGGUCAUGAACUUCUUUUCCCGGAGAAGAAGCAAUGACGGUAUCCGGGGAAUAAGCAUCGGCUAACUCUGUGUCAGCAGCCGCGGUAAUCUGAGCGGGCUGGCAAGGC
rnacentral:rRNA from 1 species